GACGAACGCUGGCGGCGUGCUUAACACAUGCAAGUCGAACGCUGAAGCCCAGCUGUUGUUGGGCGGGUGAGUGGCGAACGGGUGAGUAACACGAGAGUAACCUGCCCCGUGCAUUGGGAUAACGCCCGGAAACGGGUUCUAAUACUGGAUAUUCGCUUGUCAUCGGAUGGGGGUUGGGGGAUAGGGUAUUUCUGGGGGUGGAUGGGCUCGCGGCCUAUCAGCUUGUUGGUGGGGUGAUGGCCUACCAAGGCUUUGACGGGUAGCCGGCCUGAGAGGCUACCCGGUCACAUUGGGACGGCGAUAAGGCCCAGACUCCUACGGGAGGCAGAAGUGGGGAAAAUUGCACAAUGGGUGAAAGAGUAAUGCAGCGACGCCGCGUGAGGGAUGGAGGCCUUCGGGUUGUGAUCCUCUUUAGCUAAUGGUCAAGCCGCAACAAUGGUUGUGGUGAGGGUAGUGGGUAAAGAAGCGCCGGCUAACUACGUG
rnacentral:rRNA from 1 species